CCCAUCCAACUUGGCCUGGAACAUUUCCAAGAAAUGGGGCAUCCAAAGUUUCUCUGGGCAGCCCAUUUUGCAGAUAUACUUGCUGUGUACAGCUUCCAACCCUUCAGCCCUCAGCAUACACAGUCUAUACAUCUUCCCUGCUCCUACAGAAAGCCUGGAAGAGCUGAAAGCUUGGGUGGAAAAACUUCAGUGCUUAAAUCGACAGAUGUGUUGUUUGUCGCUGUUGUGGUUGCUGUUACCUUUUGUUUACGAGCUGGGAUGCCAAACUUCCAACCUCAUUUCUCAUGCAUUUUCCACAUCAUUAACUGUUUAAAUUUCCUGUGCUUGGACGGUUGUUGCUUCUUACUAUCAAUUCUCUCCAACGUGGCUGUGUUGAAAUGUAGAAACUGUUAUAAAAUCACAAUAGAAAAAAGACCAGAUGGCAUCAAUACCUGCUAAUGUACCCCAUGUUCAUGCUCCAGCAUGUGUCUGAUAGAUGGGAUAAGAGCUAGCCACUGAUAUUCUGUUCGUGUCAUCGUUUGCUGAGUUUGUUUUUUAAUUAACCAUAUGCUCCCAAGAAAACCUUGAAAGCAUUUAAUGUGGUUCCCCAAAAUACAUCUGCAACGCACCUUAGAAAUGGACAGCAUUUUAAAA